rnacentral:rRNA from 1 species
GACGAACGCUGGCGGCGUGCUUAACACAUGCAAGUCGAACGCUGAACCCGCUUCGGUGGGGGAUGAGUGGCGAACGGGUGAGUAACACGUGGGCAACCUGCCCCCGGCUCUGGGAUAACUCCAAGAAAUUGGGGCUAAUACCGGAUGUGACCGCUGGCCGCAUGGUCUGGUGGUGGAAAGGGUUUCCGGCUGGGGAUGGGCCCGCGGCCUAUCAGCUUGUUGGUGGGGUAGUGGCCUACCAAGGCGACGACGGGUAGCCGGCCUGAGAGGGUGACCGGCCCCACUGGGAGUGAGAACCGGCCCAGACUCCCACGGGGGGCAGGAGGGGGGAAUAUUGCGCAAGGGGGGGAGGCAGGACGCGGCGGCGCCGGGGGGGGGAAGACGGCCUUGGGGUUGUAAACCUCUUUCGGCAGGGACGAAGCGCAAGUGACGGUACCUGCAGAAGAAGCACCGGCCAACUACGU